GACGAACGCUGGCGGCGUGCCUAACACAUGCAAGUCGAACGGAGAUUAUUGAUGAAGCUUGCGAUUUAAUAAUCUUAGUGGCGGACGGGUGAGUAACGCGUGGGUAACCUGCCCAUAAGAGGGGGAUAACAGCUGGAAACGGCUGCUAAUACCGCAUACGCUUUCCGGGACACAAGUGCCGGAAAGGAAAGAUGGCCUCUACAUGUAAGCUAUCACUUAUGGAUGGACCCGCGUCUGAUUAGCUAGUUGGUGGGGUAGAAGCCUACCAAGGCGACGAUCAGUAGCCGGCCUGAGAGGGUGGAUGGCCACACUGGGACUGAGACACGGCCCAGACUCCUACGGGAGGCAGCAGUGGGGAAUAUUGCGCAAUGGGGGAAACCCUGACGCAGCGACGCCGCGUGAGCGAAGAAGGCCUUCGGUUGUAAGACUCUGUUGUAAGGGACGAAGUGUCGCGAUCAAUAAUACGGAAUUGCGAAUGACGUACCUUACCAGCAAGCCCGGCC
rnacentral:rRNA from 1 species